rnacentral:rRNA from 1 species
CAGUAGCCACGGUAAUACGAAGGGGGCUAGCGUUGUUCGGAAUCACUGGGCGUAAAGCGCACGUAGGCGGACUUUUAAGUCAGAGGUGAAAUCCCAAGGCUCAACCUUGGAACUGCCUUUGAUACUGGGAGUCUUGAGGUCGAGAGAGGUGAGUGGAACUGCGAGUGUAGAGGUGAAAUUCGUAGAUAUUCGCAAGAACACCAGUGGCGAAGGCGGCUCACUGGCUCGAUUCUGACGCUGAGGUGCGAAAGCGUGGGGAGCAAACAGGAUUAGAGACCCCUGUAGUCCCUGUCUCUUAUAC